GGGUGGGCCAGAUUGAGUUGGGUGAGCUUUUGUCUCUCAUAGGAGUCUGAGAGGGUCCCUUGCCUCAUUGUGCCAUCCUACCCCUUUUCUAGAUGGCAGGGGCAGGGGUUCCUUUCUCUGCCAAUGGAAGGCCUCUGGCUUCAGGGAUUCGUUCAAGCUCACAGCCAGCAGCCAAGCGUCAGAAACUAAACCCAGCUGAUGCCCCCAAUCCUGUGGUGUUUGUGGCCACAAAGGAUACCAGGGCCCUACGGAAGGCUCUGACCCAUCUGGAAAUGCGGCGAGCUGCUCGCCGACCCAACUUGCCCCUGAAGGUGAAGCCAACGCUGAUUGCAGUGCGGCCCCCUGUCCCUCUACCUGCACCCUCACAUCCUGCCAGCACCAAUGAGCCUAUUGUCCUGGAGGACUGAGCACCUGUGGGGAAGGGAGGUGGGCUGAGAGGUAGAGGGUGGAUGCCCAGGGCACCCAAACCUCCCUUCCCUUUCGUGUCGAAGGGAGUGAGGAGUGAAUUAAGGAAGAGAGCAAGUGAGUGUGUGUCCCUGGAGGGGUUGGGCGCCCUCUGGUGUUACCACCUCGAGACUUGUCUCAUGCCUCCAUGCUUGCCGAUGGAGGACAGACUGCAGGAACUUGGCCCAUGUGGGAACCUAGCCUGUUUUGGGGGGUAGGACCCACAGAUGUCUUGGACAGUUUUGGGGGGAGGGUUUUUUAAUUUUUUAAAAAUUUUGCCUCCCUUUGUGAAAGGGGAUGGGGAGGGGAAGAGUAAACAGGUAACAGGUGGUGGUACCUGGUUGGGGGAGGGGGGCGUGCACUGCCAUGUCUUUUUUUUUUUUUUUUUUUUUUUUUUCCUAAUUGGGGGUUUCUCUUUCUGUCCGGUGUCCGGACUUUCCUAAUUGGAGUUUGAGGCCCCUAAGCUGGCAUCAACCCCAGGCCACGCUCGCUCUUUCCUUCCCUCCCCUCCCCCUCUGCCUUUUGUACGCCAGUUCUCAGAAAUAAAGAUCUUUUGUCCGUUUUUUUAACCUCGGAUUCUGUAAUUGGUUCUUAUAGUAACAAAUAAA
rnacentral:lncRNA from 1 species